AUUCUGUCUCAUCCUGGCAAACAGUGACCUGGCCUCAGUUUAUACAGAUUUUUGUCAUGUUGCAUCUGGUGGUACAGAUACCAAAGCAAUGCAUUUUUCCAAGACAGUGCACAGAUGAACGUACUUCAUUGCAGUCACAUGUAUGCAGCAGUCCUGUGGCAAAGAGCCAGCUGGUUGCCCCAGACUAAAUCAUGUAGCAUCAACACUGCCUUUUCUCUCCAAAUUAUAGGGCAAACAAUAACAGGGACCAUUACAAAGGAAAUGCUGGCACCAUGUUGACUGUGGUGGCAUGGAUGGGCUAAAAUUCAAGAAAUGCUUGCACUGAGGAGGUAUCUGUUAGCCUGAGACAUCACUGAGGUAUUGCAUGUCUGCCAUAUGGUGAUGUUCACAUAAAUACUCCUGGAAGUACUGCUGCUGGAGCUCAUUGUGUCUGGUACCAUUGCACCUCCAUGAAGUAUAGUCUAGUGAAUUGGAUGUUCUGAGGAGCUGCAGAAGCUCAGCUGGCAGCUAUCUGAAGAGGAUCCAUUUGCUCUUUAGAGUGUGUCACCAGCGGGAUGCCCACAGAAAGCAUCAAAAAUAUUGCUGGCCAGAUGCAAGACCACAGUGUCUCCUGCAAGAGCCUGUCCAGACAUGUCUAUUAUAUGAAGUAUUACAUAGUAUUAUUUUUAGCUCACAGGUCAUUUCAUGGUGUUAGGAUGGAAAAGAGAGCUCAGUGGGGUGGAGGAGAAGCUGAGGACGGAGGGAUGGAAGCAGAAGUCUAAGUGGGUGAGAAAUGGGAGAAAAAGUAGUGAGCCUGGGAACCUUAGGAAUGGGAGGUCAAAGUGCUGGGAAGGCCUAGAUGAAAUGUACAGCCUGGGGCUCUGCUAUGACCAUUCGUCAGAUAGGGAGACCAAAACUGAACAUAGUAUCCUAGAUGAGGGCAUAUAAUUAAUUCAUAUAAUAGAGCUACAGUAUUUUUCUAUAUUCUUCACCAUCCCAUUCCUUACACAACUGAAUGUUUUUAUUUCUUUGUUUGUUCUUUUUUACCGCUACUGCACAUUAAGGCGAGGUUUUCACUGAGGGUUGAUCUUCACUGGGAAUUUAUGUCAGCAUAGCUACCUCUCUCAGGGUGUGAAAAAUCCACCCCCUGAGAGACAUAGCUCUCUCAACCCUAAUCCCCUGUAUAAACAAAGCAAGGUUGGGGAACGAAUUCUUCUGUUGACCUCACUAGAGCCUCACAAGGAGAUGGAUUAUCUAGGCUGAUUUCUACAGUAGGGGAGGACAAACUACGGCCCGCAGGCCGGAUCUGUCCCAUCAAGGCUUUUAAUCUGGCCCGCGGGAUUGCCAGCCCCGUGGCAUAGCAGGGUUAAGGCAGGCUC